UCAUAGAUUAAGCCAUGCAAGUGUUAGUUCAGGUAACGAAACUGCGAAUAGCUCAUUAAUACGCUCAGAAUCUAUUUGGCGGCGACCAACAGGUCUUAAAUGGAUAGCAGCAGCAACUCUGGUGCUAAUACAUGCGAUUGUUUCUCCAGAUGUGAAUUAUGGAGGAAAAGUUGACCUCAUCAGAGGCACGCCAUUCGACUGAGUGACCUAUCAGCUUGUACUUAGGGUCUUUACCUAGGUAGGCUAUCACGGGUAACGGGCGGUUACCGUCGGACUGCCGGAGAAGGCGCCUGAGAGAUAGCGACUAUAUCCACGGGUAGCAGCAGGCGCGAAACUUUCCCACUCGAGACUUUCGGAGGAGGUAAUGACCAGUUCCAUUGGUGCCUUUUGGUACUGUGGAUAGGGGUACGGUUUUCCACCGUACCGAAACCUAGCAGAGGGCCAGUCUGGUGCCAGCAGCUGCGGUAAUUCCAGCUCUGCGAGUUUGCUCCCAUAUUGUUGCAGUUAAAACGCCCGUAGUCUGAAUUGGCCAGCAAUGGUCGUACGUAUUUUUACGUUCACUGUGAACAAAUCAGGACGCUUAGAGUAUGGCCACAUGAAUGACUCAGCGCAGUAUGAAGUCUUUGUUUUCUUCCGAAAACAAGCUCAAUGAGAGCCAUCGGGGGUAGAUCUAUCUCAUGACGAGUGGUGGAAUACUUUGACUCAUGAGAGAGAAGCUGAGGCGAAGGCGUCUACCUAGAGGGUUUCUGUCGAUCAAGGGCGAGAGUAGGAGUAUCCAACAGGAUUAGAGACCCUGGUAGUUCCUACCUUAAACGAUGCCGACAGGAGUUUGUCAUUUGUUAAUGGCAGAAUCUUUGGAGAAAUCAUAGUUCUUGGGCUCUGGGGGAACUACGACCGCAAGGCUGAAACUUGAAGA
rnacentral:rRNA from 1 species